AACCAUCAACCCUGAAAACAACCCCCUCCAUUCACCAUAUGUGGCCCCCUCCUGACCCUUAGCACCAUUUGAGAAGAUGAACAAUAGAGUUUGCUAAUCACAGGCAUCAUGCUCAUCUUCCAACUCUGGUGGACUCAACAAUGAUAUUAGCUUCGUUCUCAUUCCCAUGGGAUCUCCUCAGGGUUCCUUGGGAUUAACAAAAGAUUUAAUGACAUUGUUCAUGAAGAAACGAACACUUACAACAUAAAUAUGCAGGGCAAAACAAUGGAACACAUGAAAAGGGUGAAAAAUAUACCUAUGUCAAAAAAAGUGUAAAUCAUGAUGCUCAGAGUCCUUGUUGGUGACAUCGUGAUGCUUACAAUGUCCCUAUUUCUCAUUAGAACACCACAAAUAAUAAAGAGAUGGCAGAAGCAAAAACGAAAUAUGAAACCAAAAACAUCAAAACGUUUCCUUCGUGGAAUAUCCUUACCAUACAAACCACACAACUUCAGAGAAAAAAAAAUGCCAAUGGGUUCUUACCUUAAGAGCGAGGUGCUUAUUGCCAAAGGUCGUGAUGAUGAGAUUAAAUAUAUAGGGUUUGGAAAUGAAGAACAAAAGAAUUGAUGGUGAGGGUUUCGAAAUUAGGAACUUCAAAAUUAUAUUCAGAAGAAAAUACACACAAAAACAUAACUUUGCUAGAAAAAAUGAUCGUUCCACGUACCUGUUGCAACAACGAACCAAGGAUUGCGGCGAUAAUGGCGGCCAAACAUUGUGAGAAGAGUGAGAAGGGUGAUAUGGUUUGCGGUGAGACUGAGAACAGUGAGAGUGAGAACGUUAGCAGUGAGAUUGAGAAAAAAGGUUUCAGUGAGAAUGAGAAGAGGGUUUGCGGUGAGAUUAAGAAGAAGGGUUUUAGUGAGAAUGAGAAGAGGGUUUG
rnacentral:lncRNA from 1 species